AAAUCAUCUUCCACAAUCUUGAUAUAUUUAACGAUAAAGAAGCUGGAGUACGUGAAAGCAUGUGUAAAACGCAAAUAGGGGAAUAUGUAAACCAUUGCCCUACGGUUUAUAGAUUUUUGUGUCUGAUGAAAUUAAAAGGCAACUCCACUGUACUACCAAGUUUGAUGUUAGGUUAGACAAAACUGUUCCCAUAAAAAAGAAGACGAGUUCUAGAAAAACUAUGUUAAAGAAGCCUAUUGCAUUGUCAUCUAGAUAUUCAUAAUUUCGAAUGGUCUAUCUCGACCUCCAAAAUACUAUCUCGACCUCCAAAAUACAAAUGACGAAAAGCUGAAACAUUAAAUUAUUUGAAACCCAAAAUAUAAAUAAAUGAAAUCAAUCAGAAUGUCAAUUCAUGU
rnacentral:lncRNA from 1 species